rnacentral:rRNA from 1 species
ACACAUGCAAGUCGAGGGGAAACGACAUCGAAAGCUUGCUUUUGAUGGGCGUCGACCGGCGCACGGGUGAGUAACGCGUAUCCAACCUGCCCACCACUUGGGGAUAACCUUGCGAAAGUAAGACUAAUACCCAAUGACGUCUCUAGAAGACAUCUGAAAGGGAUUAAAGAUUUAUCGGUGAUGGAUGGGGAUGCGUCUGAUUAGCUUGUUGGCGGGGUAACGGCCCACCAAGGCUACGAUCAGUAGGGGUUCUGAGAGGAAGGUCCCCCACAUUGGAACUGAGACACGGUCCAAACUCCUACGGGAGGCAGCAGUGAGGAAUAUUGGUCAAUGGACGAGAGUCUGAACCAGCCAAGUAGCGUGCAGGAUGACGGCCCUAUGGGUUGUAAACUGCUUUUAUAAGGGAAUAAAGUGAGCCUCGUGAGGCUUUUUGCAUGUACCUUAUGAAUAAGGACCGGCUAAUUCCGUGCCAGCAGCCGCGGUAAUACGGAAGGUCCGGGCGUUAUCCGGAUUUAUUGGGUUUAAAGGGAGCGUAGGCCGGAGAUUAAGCGUGUUGUGAAAUGUAGAUGCUCAACAUCUGCACUGCAGCGCGAACUGGUUUCCUUGAGUACGCACAAAGUGGGCGGAAUUCGUGGUGUAGCGGUGAAAUGCUUAGAUAUCACGAAGAACUCCGAUUGCGAAGGCAGCUCACUGGAGCGCAACUGACGCUGAAGCUCGAAAGUGCGGGUAUCGAACAGGAUUAGAUACCCUGGUAGUCCGCACGGUAAACGAUGGAUGCCCGCUGUUGGUCUGAAUAGGUCAGCGGCCAAGCGAAAGCAUUAAGCAUCCCACCUGGGGAGUACGCCGGCACGGUGAAACUCAA